rnacentral:rRNA from 1 species
CAUUCGAGUGGCGGACGGGUGAGUAACGCGUGGGUAACCUGCCUUACACAGGGGGAUAACACCUGGAAACAGGUGCUAAUACCGCAUAAGCGCACAGGGCCGCAUGGCCCGGUGUGAAAAACUCCGGUGGUGUAAGAUGGACCCGCGUCUGAUUAGCUGGUUGGCGGGGUAAAGGCCCACCAAGGCGACGAUCAGUAGCCGGCCUGAGAGGGUGGACGGCCACAUUGGGACUGAGACACGGCCCAAACUCCUACGGGAGGCAGCAG